UGGGGUAUCGCCAAGCGGUAAGGCACCAGGUUUUGAUCCUGGCACACCCUGGUUCGAAUCCAGGUACCCCAGCCA
rnacentral:tRNA from 1 species